rnacentral:rRNA from 1 species
GACGAACGCUGGCGGCGUGCCUAAUACAUGCAAGUAGAACGCACAGUUUAUACCGUAGCUUGCUACACCAUAGACUGUGAGUUGCGAACGGGUGAGUAACGCGUAGGUAACCUGCCUGGUAGCGGGGGAUAACUAUUGGACACGAUAGCUAAUACCGCAUAAUAUUAAUUAUUGCAUGAUAAUUAAUUGAAAGGUGCAAUUGCACCACUACAAGAUGGACCUGCGUUGUAUUAGCUAGUAGGUGAGGUAACGGCUCACCUAGGCGACGAUACAUAGCCGACCUGGGAGGGUGAUCGGCCACACUGGGACUGAGACACGGCCCAGACUCCUACGGGAGGCAGCAGUAGGGAAUCUUCGGCAAUGGACGAAAGUCUGACCGGGCAACGCCGCGUGAGUGAAGAAGGUUGUCGGAUCGUAAAGCUCUGUUGUAAGAGAAGAACGGGUGUGAGAGUGGAAAGUUCACACUGUGACGGUAUCUUACCAGAAAGGGACGGCUAACUACGUG